AGAAUCAACGCUGGCGGCGCGCUUAACACAUGCAAGUCGCACGAGAAAGGGAGCAAUCCUAAGUAAAGUGGCGCACGGGUGAGUAACACGUGGAUCAUCUACCUUUUAGUGGGGAAUACCUCUGGGAAACCGGAGACAAUACCGCAUAAGCCCGCAAGGGGAAAGCAGCAAUGCGCUGAAAGAGGAGUCCGCGGCCGAUUAGCUAGUUGGCGGGGUAAUGGCCCACCAAGGCGAAGAUCGGUAGCCGGCCUGAGAGGGCACACGGCCACACUGGCACUGAAACACGGGCCAGACUCCUACGGGAGGCAGCAGUGGGGAAUCUUGCACAAUGGGCGAAAGCCUGAUGCAGCGACGCCGCGUGAGCGAUGAAGCCCUUCGGGGUGUAAAGCUCUUUCGACGGGAACGAUAAUGACGGUACCCGGAGAAGAAGCUGCGGCUAACUACGCGCCAGCAGCCGC
rnacentral:rRNA from 1 species